CAAGGUCUACAGUGCUGAUGUUCCUGAGUUCCUUUGGGACCGUCCAAGAAGCUUUGUGCAACAUUGCCUGAAAAGCAUAGAGGCAGCUGCUCAUUAUACCUCCCAAAAUCUUCAAGAACAGAGCAAGGGUGUAUACAAAGUCCAGAGUGAACAGUCAUGUGAUUGGUACUCUGUAGACCUCGGAGACAAAGACCGUUUUCCAUCAUGUGAAUGCAGAUCUUUUAAAUCAUCUUUUUUACCCUGCAAGCAUUUUUUUGCUAUUUUCCAACACACUGACAGCUCCUGGUAUUCCUUGUGCCCAGAUUACAUAAACAGUCCAUAUGUCACUCUUGACUCAGAGGUGGUAUCAGGUCAGAAACACUUGCUGGUGAAAGAAGUGAUUGACAAGAGCAAGACUGUACAUCCUGUGGCCAAAGACAGUCUUGACAUUCAAUGCUUGAACAUGGAUGUGGAGGCAAAUGGUGUUUCCACUGCACAGAGUGGUCUACGAGAGAAAUUAAAAAUUCUCCUGGAUCUGUCAUACCUAUGCACUGAUCUUGAAUUGUUGCGAAAUGCGACUGCAGUCAUUGGUGAACUUGCAGGAAAGAUGAAAUGCUCUGUUCCAAAGGAAGAUGCUCUACCACUUCUAAGCAAGAAAGAUGAUGUGAAGCCGAAACUUCGUGUACUCCCAACCCAGAAAAGAAAAAGAAUGUUGAGAAACAAAAGAAGAAAAAUUGAAAAAAGAAACAGUGGUGACACGGGUGACCAGUCUGGUUCUUUGAAAGAAAACUCGCUGACAGAUUGUGCUACAAUAGCUUUGCCAGGUGAUAAAUGCAUAUUUGGACACUUUGAAACUCGAAAACAACACCAAAACCAACGCUGGAUACCACUGUUUCAAUAUUUCUACCUACAUGCCUCUACUUUGGGAGUGUGACAGAUUUGACUCCUGGAUGUUUGAAAA
ensembl:lncRNA